rnacentral:rRNA from 1 species
GACGAACCGUCCAAACGUUAGUCGGAAUCACUGGGCUUACAGAGUUCGUAGGCGGUCUGGAAAGUUGGGUGUGAAAUCCCUCGGCCUAACCGAGGAACUGCGCUUGAAACUACCAGACUCGAGGGAGAUAGAGGAAAGCGGAACUGAUGGUGGAGCGGUGAAAUGCGUUGAUAUCAUCAGGAACACCGGUGGCGAAGGCGGCUUUCUGGGUCUUACCUGACGCUGAGGAACGAAAGCCAGGGGAGCGAACGGG